UACGGAGGAUCCAAGCGUUAUCCGGAAUCAUUGGGUUUGAAGGGUUUGUAGGCGGGACAAUAAGUCAGCGGUGAAAGUCUGUGGCUCAACCAUAGAAUUGCCAUUGAUACUGUUGUUCUUGAGUGUUUAUGAAGUGGUUAGAAUAUGUAGUGUAGCGGUGAAGUGCUUAGAUAUUACAUGGAAUACCGAUUGCGAAGGCAGAUCACUAAUAAAAUACUGACGCUGGUGGACGAAAGCGUAGGUAGCGAACAGG
rnacentral:misc_RNA from 1 species